rnacentral:tRNA from 1 species
UCCCUGGUGGCUCAGACGGUUAAGAAUCUGCCUGCAAUGCAGGAGACCCAGGUUCGAUUCCAGGAUGGGGAA